CAGCAGCCGCGGUAAUACGGAGGGGGUUAGCGUUGUUCGGAAUUACUGGGCGUAAAGCGCGCGUAGGCGGACAUUUAAGUCAGAGGUGAAAUCCCAGGGCUCAACCCUGGAACUGCCUUUGAUACUGGGUGUCUUGAGUUCGAGAGAGGUGAGUGGAAUUCCGAGUGUAGAGGUGAAAUUCGUAGAUAUUCGGAGGAACACCAGUGGCGAAGGCGGCUCACUGGCUCGAUACUGACGCUGAGGUGCGAAAGUGUGGGGAGCAAACAGGAUUUGAUACCCUGGUAGUCCACACCGUAAACGAUGAAUGCCAGUCGUCGGGCAGUAUACUGUUCGGUGACACACCUAACGGAUUAAGCAUUCCGCCUGGGGAGUACGGUCGCAAGAUUAAAACUCAAAUGAAUUGACGGGG
rnacentral:rRNA from 1 species